UCAGUCUGCCUCUCUGAACUCCUCCACCAUGAGUGUGAGCUAUUUAAGAAGGACAGAUUCUUCCAGGAGCAGCGAUGUCUUUUUAGCUUGAAUCAUCAAGCUCCAAGCUGCAAGAGACUGGGGCUUGGCACGAUUCGAGGCUGUCUGCUGAGGCCGCUCCUGAUCCUGCUUCUUCAGCCCACUGUUUUUACAGCAGCCUCAGGAGGAAAAGAGGGUAGCAGUUCUGUAUCCACUUUAUAGAAGAGGACGCUGACCUUGGAGGGACUUGCCCAGGGACCCACAACUGACACAGAGCUGAGGAGCAAGUAGAACCUGGAUGCGGAGACCCCACUGGGUGCCCUCUCCCUCAACUGCCACAGGGCAUGAGAAGAUACUUCAGAGAAAAGUGUGGCAGGCAGCCAUUCCCUCUACACGUUGGAUGUAAGGCCCCUCUCUUCAGAGCUGUGGAGAGCCCUGAUUAUCUGUAAAAGAAGCAUACUCUUCUGGAUACUUGGAAAGCACUGUUUUCAGUCUUGUCUCUGUGGACCCUGUUCUGACAUGAGAAGACAAGUGACAAUGACCCCAUGUCAUGCACCAUGGAGACACAGCCUGAGAUUUUAAAAAGUUGUCUUAACAGAGUUUCACUGACCCGUUUUUCUGCUGUGUUAUGAAAACCGUGCAGUCUGGACAGUCCUAGGAUAAAACGGAGAAAUGCACCGAUUUAUAUUUGAAGAAGGGAAGAAAGCAAUGGCCUCCAUUCAUUAAUUUAUCCCUUCAUUUAUUCAUCCACUUGCUCAUUCACUUAUUCACUCACUGACUCACUUAUUCAUUUGCAUCCACCUGACAUUGAGCUCCUUCUCUGUCUAGAUAUCAUGGUAGAUACUAGAGACUGACAGAUAAGGCCUUUAUGUCCCCGCCCCACCCCCACCGCCUUGCACUAAUUGUUGACAGAUUACAGUUUGAGCAAAGACUCGGAGGCAGGAAAUGGUCAUGGCAUGAGGAGAUCACAGUCAGGCGAUAUGUCUUGCUGAAAGGAAGGGUGGGUGUUAGGAAGUAUUGAGGCAUGCGUAUCAAUGCCAGUAAUAUAAUGGGAGUCAACAUCUACUCUGGUUUCCACAGCACACUGUCCUGUAAUUAACAGCAGUGGAUGUUUUGCAAGGACCUCCCAGUUCUCUGGGCUGCAUUUGAG